rnacentral:rRNA from 1 species
UACAGAGGUCUCAAGCGUUGUUCGGAUUCAUUGGGCGUAAAGGGUGCGUAGGCGGCGCGGUAAGUCGGGUGUGAAAUCUCGGGGCUUAACUCCGAAACUGCAUUCGAUACUGCCGUGCUUGAGGACUGGAGAGGAGACUGGAAUUUACGGUGUAGCGGCGAAAUGCGUAGAUAUCGUAAGGAAGACCAGUGGCGAAGGCGGGUCUCUGGACAGUUCCUGACGCUGAGGCACGAAGGCCAGGGGAGCAAACGGG